rnacentral:misc_RNA from 1 species
AAGUCGUAACAAGGUCUCCGUUGGUGAACCAGCGGAGGGAUCAUUACUGAGUUUUCAACUCUUUAAACCCAUUUGUGAACAUACCUUUUCUGUAUACUGCUUUGGCAGGACUCUCCAGGGUUCUGCCAGUAGUAUUUACAAACCUCUUUUUAAUUUUCUAUAGAAUUGUUCAUUGCUGAGUUGCAUUUAACAAAUAGUUAAAAG